UUGUUUUUUCUUCUUCUUCUUCCAGUUUCGUUAAAU
rnacentral:sRNA from 1 species